CUAACUUUAGAUAAAGUGAAUGGAAAUCUAUGAAAUUUUAACACAAGGUUUAUGACCACAAAAGGAAGGUUGGUAUUGAUUUUGGGAGUUUUGGUCCCAACAUUUUAGGAAUUAGGGGCCAAAAAGGGCCCAAAUAAGCAUUUUCUUGGUUUUCGCACUAUAACUUAAGUUUAAGUUAAUAGAAAUCUAUGAAAUUUUGACACAAGGUUUAUGACCACAAAAGAACGGUUGGGAUUGAUUUUGGGAGUUUUGGUUUCAAACAGUUUAGGAAUUAGGGGCCAAAAAAGGGCCCAAAGAAGCAUUAUUCUUGGUUUUCGCACAAUAACUUUAGUUUAAGUAAAUAGAAAUCAAUGAAAUUUAAACACAAUGUUAAUGACUACAAAAGGAAGGUUGGUAUUGAUUUUGGGAGUUUAGGUCCCAACAGUUUAGGAAUUAGGGGCCAAAAAGGGGACCCAAAUAAGCAUUUUUCUUGGUUUUCGCACCAUAACGUUAGUAUAAGUAAAUAGAAAUCUAUGAAAUUUAAAUACAAGGGUUAUGACCAUAAAAUGAAGGUUGGUAUUGAUUUUGGGAGUUUUGGUCCCAACAGAAUAAGGGGCCCAAAGGGUCCAAAAUUAAACUUUAUUUGAUUUCAUCAAAAUUGAAUAAUUGGGGUUCUUUGAUAUGCCGAAUCUAACUGUCAUUCUUGUGUAUGUAGAUUCUUAACUUUUGGUCCCGUUUUCAAAUUGGUCUACAUUAAGGUCCAAAGGGUCCAAAAUUAAACUUAGUUUGAUUUUGACAAAAAAUGAAUCAGUUAGGUUCUUUGAUAUGCUGAAUCUAAAAAUGUACUUAGAUUCUUGAUUAUUGGCCCAGUUUUCAAGUUGGUCCAAAUCGGGGUCCAAAAUUAAACUUUGUUUGAUUUCAUCAAAAAUUGAAUAAAUGGGGUUCUUUGAUAUACCAAAUCUAACUGUGUAUGUAGAUUCUUAAUUUUUGGUCCUGUUUUCAAAUUGGUCUACACUAAAGUCCAAAGGGUCCAAAAUUAAACUUAGUCUGAUUUUAACAAAAAUUGAAAUCUUGGGGUUC
rnacentral:lncRNA from 1 species